ACAGUAAUUGAUUUCGAUCAAAAUAAUUCACAUAUGUAUUACAUAUUUACAUAUAAAAUAUUGUUGAAGAAGUUAAACAAAAUUAUUUAUUCAACCUUAAAAUAUACACACGUUUACUUAAGUAAUUUUUAAAUGUAAUUUUUUCUUUUCCAGCAUUUGAUUUCUCAAGGUUGUUACAGGUAAUGUUGCAUUUAAUACCGUACAUUCGAGGAAAAUUACCAGAAAGUUACAGUUAAAGUUACGUGAGGAUGAAUUUAGUAUGUAAAAUAUCUGUUCAAGCUAUUUGAAUCCGUUUAUUUGAAACUGGUCAAACUGCAUGUUCACAAUACACAGGUAGGUUAUUACUACGAAUCGCCAUGCAAAGCAGCGUGAGGGUUGAGUAGUGUCAGCGACACUAGAGUCGAUUGAAGAACAAAGCAGCUGACCGUGUUACCUGCUCUACCUGUCACGAGAGAAGCAAUAACAGAUAAAGGCAAAAUGAAAUUCUUAUUGUUGUUAAUUAGUUAUAUUUACUUAACUUCGUACGAAGUGGAUGCACAUGGAUCAGGAGCACCCGAAAGUACUUGUAAAUCAAUGAAUCCAAAACAUGGUGCAACUGCUCAGACAAUACCUGCCCCUUACGAAGUAUCUGUAAAACCUUUAAAUGGACAGUUCGAAGUAUCUAUAAAGUCAAAAAAUUUCAAUAAAUUUAGAGGCUUCUUUCUUCAAGCAAG